CACCUCAAAGAGUCGAUUUAAAGAUCCGAUUCUAAGAGCCGACUCUUUUGUGAAACAUGGCAUCAUGUUGUUAUUAUCUCAGAGAAAACGCAAAGCGGUUGUCUGAGAUUUGAAUUUGAGUAGAUUUUAAUGACAGCCCUAUUCAGACUGGAUUUGUUUCAUAUGCAGUGGAAAUAACUUCAGUAUAAAGACACUCCAGGAAGCAAACGGUUUUCUGUCAUCUCAUGCUGAAAACAAAAACUUAUAAAUAAAAUAUAAUAUACACAAUGUUUAAAAUGAAGAAAAGGAAGAGGAAAAAGGAAAGCAGAAAGCACUGUGAUGGAUCAAAGUACUUUUCCAUCACUUGGCCUGAUUUCAGCACAUGGACUCUAACUGUGCAUUAUGGCUGCCGCAGGUAGCACCAGAACGUCCUUCAUCUAUUCGAAGCGAUCACUGCUUGAAGGGGAUAAAGAACAUUGCAGUGCCGUGAUUAUCAGGAUUCCUCUCUUGGUUUGUUUCUUGCAGUAAUUUCUUGUGGUGAUCAAGCAUUGGUGAGUGCAAAAGUUUUUACACUCUUACUUAAAGUCGAUGACUCCAAAAUGAGAGUUUUAUAGCCGUUACGUCAUUAGAGCAAGUAGCAGAAAUGGCCAAAAUGAUAUAAAUAUUAAUAGUGAAACAAUCAAAAGAAUUUGUUGUUUGCUUUGGAUGUUUUUUUGCUAUUUAUUUAUUAAAUAAUUUUUUCCUCAUCUUUUUUUUUUUUCCCCUCUCUGUCUCUUCUCCCAUGUCUGAAUUAUGGUUUUCACUGUUGGAAACACUCUCCCUAAACACAUUUUUCUCUUUUUUUUUUUUUUUUUUUUCCCCUUCCUAAAAGAUCUUUUUUUUUUUUUUUUUUAAUCCCUUUCUCCAGCUCUAUGACAGGUAAGCAUGGUUAUGUUUUGUUAGAUGAGAUUUUAUGAUUCCCACUGACUGAAAGUUUAGACCCAUUUUACGUAAAGUAUAGAAUACGCCAUAUUGUGCUGUUACAGGAAAUUAAUCAGUGAUGAGGUGGAGUGAUGAGGCACGGUUACUGUUACCAUCCAAAAUUUGUUUGUUUCGAUCACACUUUUUUUUUUUAUAUGUUUAUAGUUACGUUUAAUGUUGUGGAAUGUCCAGAAAUGUUAGUUCCUGUUCUCACUUAUGUUAUAGCAGCUAUAAACAGUUGUUCCCCUUUCUUUUUCUCUCCCUUGAAGUUAAUAAGACAAAAUAAACACAGCUUAUCAUGUUA